rnacentral:rRNA from 1 species
AGUGAACGCUGGCGGUAGGCCUAACACAUGCAAGUCGAACGGCAGCACAGGAGAGCCUGCUCUCUGGGUGGCGAGUGGCGGACGGGUGAGGAAUACAUCGGAAUCUACUUUUUCGUGGGGGAUAACGUAGGGAAACUUACGCUAAUACCGCAUACGACCUACGGGUGAAAGCAGGGGAUCUUCGGACCUUGCGCGAUUGAAUGAGCCGAUGUCGGAUUAGCUAGUUGGCGGGGUAAAGGCCCACCAAGUCGACGAUCCGUAGCUGGUCUGAGAGGAUGAUCAGCCACACUGGAACUGAGACACGGUCCAGACUCCUACGGGAGGCAGCAGUGGGGAAUAUUGGACAAUCGGCGCAAGCCUGAUCCAGCCAUACCGCGUGGGUGAAGAAGGCCUUCGGGUUGUAAAGCCCUUUUGUUGGGAAAGAAAUCCAGCUGGUUAAUACCCGGUUGGGAUGACGGUACCCAAAGAAUAAGCACCGGCUAACUUCGUGCCAGCCGCCGCAGUAA